rnacentral:rRNA from 1 species
GGGCCUAAAGCAUCCGUAGCCGGCUCMGUARGUCUCCUGUUAAAUCCAACGGCUUAACCGUUGGUCUGCAGGAGAUACCGCUGGRCUAGGAGGCGGGAGAGGCGGACGGUACUYCMAGGGUAGGGGUAAAAUCCUWUGAUCCCUGGAAGACCACCAGUGGCGAAGGCGGUCCGCCAGAACGCGCUCGACGGUGAGGGAUGAAAGCUGGGGGAGCGAACCGGAUUAGAUACCCGGGUAGUCCCAGCUGUAAACGAUGCGAGCUAGGUGAUMCAAUGGCGUCUCUGCCAUUGUAGUGCCGCAGGGAAGCCGUUAAGCUCGCCGCCUGGGGAGUACGGUCGC